GGUAGAAUGGCUGAGAGUAAGCAGAAGACUGUAGAUCUUCCAACAGAGAAUAAAUCUCUUUCUAUCA